rnacentral:rRNA from 1 species
CAGUCGCCGCGGGAAUACAGAGGGUGCAAGCGUUAAUCGGAUUUACUGGGCGUAAAGGGCGCGUAGGUGGUUAUGUAAGUGAGAUGUGAAAUCCCCGGGCUCAACCUGGGAACUGCAUCUUAUACUGCGUAGCUGGAGUGCAGUAGAGGGUAGUGGAAUUUCCGGUGUAGCGGUGAAAUGCGUAGAUAUCGGAAGGAACACCAGUGGCGAAGGCGGCUACCUGGACUGACACUGACACUGAGGCGCGAAAGCGUGGGGAGCAAACAGGAUUAGAGACCCCCGUAGUCCCUGUCUCUUAUAC